CUCUUAACUAUACACGAAUCGGGUGCAAGCUACGUAGGUGGGCUCCGAUUUGAAUUGUGUCAAUCAGCUAGUGGCACCUUUUUUUUUCGGCCGGGGACCAAACCUACGAGGACCCCGCGCCUAGGGGGCGCACGUGGUAUGUGGGACUCAACGAUCUGCAGACAGCGAGCCCAAGGAAUUUUAGGGCCCACACACUAAACGACUCCCCUGCACUCUUCGCCCAAGCGCUCGAUCCCCUCCGAGGUCAGAACCCGGAUGAGGUAGGGGGGUUACCGCGGUCAGCUAGCGGCACCUGAAAAGAUUCUCCAAAGAUCCGGUAGUAGAUUCGUUCGCGAAGCAGCUGCUCUUGAGUUGUUAGGUCUCCUUUGGAGGCGCUCGGGUAGCUGUUAGCAAAUCCCACCCCUCCUGGCUGAACCCUUGCUCGCCCACCUGCCCUGGUAAAACUGGAUAAGGCGGGCCAUCAGUAAUCACUCAAACAUAAAAAAAAGGUUCUACAGAAAUACCGUGUUUUGAGCUUCAACUUCAAAAUAGGUGAUAUAGAGAACCAUUCAAAGCAUUCUGCUCGCUUCGUAUUAUUUACUUAAAAAAUACAAACAUAAACUGUGGUACCUAUUACAUGCCAUAUCUACAUCAUUAAAUUUCCGUGUAGAGCGAGAGCUCACAACAGUUUUCUAGUAAAAAGCGCAAAUAAAAAUUACAUUGCUGCAUUAUUGCACGCGUCAAGUCAUUGCUCCUAUCGCCGCACGGCAUUGAAUCACGAAACCCACACCCUAUCGCGAACAUUACUGGCAACUAAUUGAAAAAAAAAACAAUAAGAAUUGUUUUUUCAAAAAGUGAAAAGCGUUGCCAAAGAAACCAGAAUUCUUCUUUCCUUUUGCGGGCCUACUGGAAGAGAUUUCAACAUGAAAUAAGUAAUGCCUUUGUACUCUGUAUCCUUAUUGUCGUGUCUCUUCUAACAGCUGUGUGUACAAAAUAUAUUAAAUAAAAUAAAUAAAUAAAAAAACUUCGUGUAUUUUUGAAAAAUCUGAAAUAAAUUAUUAAUCUACUUUUCGAUUCAGAAAACUUUUGUUCGAUAAAAUGGUCGAAAACGCCACUAAUAGUUCAAGUCGCCGUGUCAUUUAUGAUAAUCAAAAUCGUAAUAUAUUAUAAAGAUAAUAAAAUAAUACUUACUCUGCACUACCUUUGGUUGACUGAUAGAGCCUUAGGUAUUAAGUUCGCCAAUGUAAAUAUUACAUGAAGUGUAAGAAAUAAAUAAAUAAAUAACUGACAAUUC